UACGUAGGGUGCGAGCGUUAAUCGGAAUUACUGGGCGUAAAGUGUGCGCAGGCGGCAGAGCAAGUCGAGUGUGAAAGCCCCCGGGCUUAACUUGGGAAUUGCGCUCGAAACUACUUUGCUGGAGUGUGGCAGAGGAAGGUGGAAUUCCACGUGUAGCGGUGAAAUGCGUAGAGAUGUGGAGGAACACCAAUGGCGAAAGGCAGCCUUCUGGGCCAACACGUCG
rnacentral:rRNA from 1 species